CCUACGGGUGGCAGCAGUGAGGAAUAUUGGUCAAUGGCCGCAAGGCUGAACCAGCCAAGUCGCGUGAGGGAUGACGGUCCUAUGGAUUGUAAACCUCUUUUGUCAGGGAGCAAAGGGCGCCACGUGUGGCGCUUUGCGAGUACCUCAAGAAAAAGCAUCGGCUAACUCCGUGCCAGCAGCCGCGGUAAUACGGAGGAUGCGAGCGUUAUCCGGAUUUAUUGGGUUUAAAGGGUGCGCAGGCGGCAUGUCAAGCCAGCGGUAAAAUUUCGGGGCUCAACCCCGUCGUGCCGUUGAAACUGGAGGUCUUGAGUGAGCGAGAAGUAGGCGGAAUGCGUGGUGUAGCGGUGAAAUGCAUAGAUAUCACGAAGAACGCCGAUUGCGAAGGCAGCAUACCGGCGCGCAACUGACGCUGAUGCACGAAAGCGUGGGUAUCGAACAGGAUUAGAUACCCGAGUAGUC
rnacentral:rRNA from 1 species